rnacentral:rRNA from 1 species
UACGUAGGGGGCUAGCGUUGUCCGGAUUUAUUGGGCGUAAAGAGCGUGUAGGCGGCCAGGUAGGUCCGUUGUGAAAACUCGAGGCUCAACCUCGAGACGCGAUGAAACCAUCUGACUAGAGUCCGGAGGAGGAGAGUGGAAUUCCUGGUGUAGCGGUGAAAUGCGCAGAUAUCAGGAAGAACACCCGUGGCUAAGGCGGCUCUCUGGUACGGUACUGACGCUCAUGCACGAAAGCGUGGGGGAGCAAACAGG